rnacentral:rRNA from 1 species
AUUGAACGCUGGCGGCAUGCCUUACACAUGCAAGUCGAACGGCAGCACGGGUGCUUGCACCUGGUGGCGAGUGGCGAACGGGUGAGUAAUACAUCGGAACAUGUCCUGUAGUGGGGGAUAGCCCGGCGAAAGCCGGAUUAAUACCGCAUACGAUCUACGGAUGAAAGCGGGGGACCUUCGGGCCUCGCGCUAUAGGGUUGGCCGAUAGCUGAUUAGCUAGUUGGUGGGGUAAAGGCCUACCAAGGCGACGAUCAGUAGCUGGUCUGAGAGGACGACCAGCCACAGGGGGAGUGAACCGGGCCCGAACCUCAGGGGGGGGGCGCGAGGGGGAAUUUGGGGAAAGGGGGAGAAGCCUGGACCAAGCAUGGCGGGGGUUGGAAAGAGGCCCUUGGGGUUGAAAAGCAUUUUUGCCGGAAAAAAAAUCUUGGCCUCUAAUACGGGGGGGGGAGGCGGGUACGGAAAAAAAAACCCCCGCCAAACUAGGCC